GCUAGAGCAAGGUGGACGUUAGCUAGCCGUUGUAGCGAGUGACAUUAAAAAGUUAUAUUUCAUCCGACGCGGUUGUUCAUCUGGUUCCAAAAUCGAGAACACAAUAAAUAGCGACGAGGAUACCGUUGAACUUGAGCCAACCUGCAUCGUUUCUACAGUCUGCUGGUGAUCCAACUCUACCCGUAUGAAUGAAUAAAUGAAUGUUUUUGGAAGUGUCACUUGACCUUAAACACAAGCGAAGCGACGGGAGAACACCUGACGACAAAUGAAAACAAAAUAAGAUAGGCGAAUACGAACAGAGGAAGCAACGUAGACAAAGAGUAACUUAACCUGGAGCGCCGAGAGAAAGUGCAUAGGGACGAAAAGCGAGAUCGCGAAGGAUAUACCUACACAAUAACCAGCAGCUGUGAAACGAAGAAACAUGGUUUAAAUAGAAACACCAACGACGAACAGCUGGAGCUAAAGGGGAGGAGACAGGACACCAUAGAAACAGACGACAGUGGGAUAACAACAUUCCUACAUCUUUAAUGACAGAGCUGUAACAUCGCCCGCACGUGCCCAGACUGCCCCUUUACCUGUAUGAGCUGAGUCGCACUGCAGCCAGCACCCACCUGGUUGGCAGGCCCAGAGUUUUACACACAGCCUCUGCCAGCUUCAGCCUGCCCACAGCUCUCGAGGCCCAUUGGAGGCACAAGUGUUGAAGCCCAGAUGCAGAUACGUGGACGAGCAAGACUUCAUGAAGUACUCUACUGAAGUGGACUGGAAAGUUAGAAUGUUUAAAAGGUAAAUGCUGAGAAGGUGCUCAGUAUAACUGGUAGACUACAGAGCAGUUUCUUAAGUGUUGGUUCUUACCGUAUUCCUCCUUUUCUCCAAUAAUCUAAAUCACACACAUACAUGGAAUGGAUUUGCUUUUAAAUUGUUUAUUUAAAAGUUCCCCUUCGCUGAACAUGUGAAAAUAGACUUUGUUUACAGUGCUCAAUCAAUUUAUGAAUGACGAUAGCAA